AUUUUGGACAAUGGGCGAAAGCCUGAUCCAGCAAUGCCGCGUGCAGGAUGAAGGCCUUCGGGUUGUAAACUGCUUUUGUACGGAACGAAAAGCUUCGGGUUAAUACCCAGGAGUCAUGACGGUACCGUAAGAAUAAGCACCGGCUAACUACGUGCCAGCAGCCGCGGUAAUACGUAGGGUGCAAGCGUUAAUCGGAAUUACUGGGCGUAAAGCGUGCGCAGGCGGUUUUGUAAGACAGAGGUGAAAUCCCCGGGCUCAACCUGGGAACUGCCUUUGUGACUGCAAGGCUAGAGUACGGCAGAGGGGGAUGGAAUUCCGCGUGUAGCAGUGAAAUGCGUAGAUAUGCGGAGGAACACCGAUGGCGAAGGCAAUCCCCUGGGCCUGUACUGACGCUCAUGCACGAAAGCGUGGGGAGCAAACAGG
rnacentral:rRNA from 1 species